ACGAAAAUGGUUAUGCGCAUGCGCAUUUGUUUACCGCAAAUCAAAGGAUUACCUGCGAUUCGUUUAUCGAUUAUUUUUGCGAUCGACCUGGUUUAGCUUGUGUUCUACGACGUGCUAAUUCUGAUA